AUAUUCCCCUUUCACUUAUGAAGAAUGGGGAUACCAGAAAGACAUUGUCUAGAUUAUUCAGUAAAGCACUGGGAAAGCCUUGAAUCCAUUCAUAAAACUUGAAGGCAAAUAAACGGGAAGGACAACCAGAACACUAGCAGCUGUAGGAGAACAUCAGAGGACCUAACAUGUGUGAGCGCAGUACCAGAGCAGGUAAGAGAGAACCAGGUCAGUUGAUCACAUGAAGAAUGAAGACUUCUCAAAAGUUUUGAAAGAUAUUAACCCACAUAUCCAAGAAACUUAGUGAAAUUUAAACAAGGUACAUACAAACUUAACCACACUUAGAGGCAUUGUGAAGAUGUCAUCAGACAUGUGAAGAUGAAGGUAG
rnacentral:lncRNA from 1 species